AUGGGGCAGCCCAAGCCCCUCCCUCUCCCCAAGAGGGGAACGUGGUCCAGUGUCACCCGGCUGUCCCCAAACCCUUCCCAGCCCCAUGGGACAGAAGCAGGGCAGGUAGCCCUGGAAACCCCAAACAUUCCAGGAGCUCCCCAGCUCUGGCAAUGCCACGGAGUCCCUGCAGAGGUGGGAGAACACGCGUCCCGCAGGCACUCCAUGCCUGUGGGGCACUCCAUGCCUCUGGACACGGCCACUCGUGGGUCUCAAGAAGGGCACAGCCGAGCGACACAGAUGGAGCCGAGCGAGAUCCCCCCAAGGGAGGCGACAGGAGCGGGGACCAGGCGGUCACCGACGUCCCCCAGCAGUGCUGAGCCCGGCGGCGAUGAUCCCCGCUCCGUCUGUCGGUUCCCACGCAGCACCCCGAUCCCCGGAGGGCCGCGCCGCCCCGCAUCCCGACCUGCCCCGACAGCAUCCCGAUCCCGCGGGGCUGUGGCGCCGUGCCCGGCACUGAUGCUCCGCGAAGGAGCCGCGAGCCCCGGCACACGCGUGUGCACACGCACGGGCACGCACACGCCAGCACAUGGCCACGGGCACACCCGCACGCACGGACACGCGUGUGCACGCCCCGGGACCGCUUCCCCGGCCGAACCUCGGACAAAGCCGCCCCCGCGGCAGCCCCGGCCGGGGGAGGCCGACCCGCCCCCGCCGCCCGUCCCGGGGCUGCAGCCCACCCCCCAUCCCCCCCGAGCGUGCCGGUGCGGGGUGGGGGACGGCAGCGCCCGGCCCGGUCCGGUCCCGCCACGUGCGCCCCGGGACCGCCGGUACCUGCGGCGGAAUGUCCCGCCCGGCCCCGUCCUGUCCCGUCCCGUCCGGUCCCGUCCCGCUCGGCUCGGCUCGGCUCGGCGCGGCGGCGGCAGCGGCGGCGAGCAUGCGUGGGGCGGUGGCGGCGGGGGCGGUACCGUGCCCCGGGCCGCUCCCCCCGGCUGCCGCCCGCCCCGGCACCCCCAGCAGCAGUGGGGAGGCGAGGGAGAGCCGGCUGCCGCGUGGGGAGGGGGUCUCGGCACACCGCAUGUCCCCCGGUGUCAUCGCUGUCACCACAACGGCCUGUCCUGGGAGCCCCCCACCGUCCCAUAG
rnacentral:lncRNA from 1 species